rnacentral:tRNA from 1 species
GCCCCCUUCGUCUAUCGGCUAGGACGCCAGGUUCUCAUCCUGGUAAGAGGGGUUCGACUCCCCUAGGGGGUGCCA